UGCAAGUAGAACGCUGAAGAGAGGAGCUUGCUCUUCUUGGAUGAGUUGCGAACGGGUGAGUAACGCGUAGGUAACCUGCCUUGUAGCGGGGGAUAACUAUUGGAAACGAUAGCUAAUACCGCAUAACAAUGGAUGACACAUGUCAUUUAUUUGAAAGGGGCAAUUGCUCCACUACAAGAUGGACCUGCGUUGUAUUAGCUAGUAGGUGAGGUAAUGGCUCACCUAGGCGACGAUACAUAGCCGACCUGAGAGGGUGAUCGGCCACACUGGGACUGAGACACGGCCCAGACUCCUACGGGAGGCAGCAGUAGGGAAUCUUCGGCAAUGGGGGCAACCCUGACCGAGCAACGCCGCGUGAGUGAAGAAGGUUUUCGGAUCGUAAAGCUCUGUUGUAAGUCAAGAACGGGUGUGAGAGUGGAAAGUUCACACUGUGACGGUAGCUUACCAGAAAGGGACGGCUAACUACGUGCCAGCAGCCGCGGUAAUACGUAGGUCCCGAGCGUUGUCCGGAUUUAUUGGGCGUAAAGCGAGCGCAGGCGGUUUGAUAAGUCUGAAGUUAAAGGCUGUGGCUCAACCAUAGUUCGCUUUGGAAACUGUCAAACUUGAGUGCAGAAGGGGAGAGUGGAAUUCCAUGUGUAGCGGUGAAAUGCGUAGAUAUAUGGAGGAACACCGGUGGCGAAAGCGGCUCUCUGGUCUGUAACUGACGCUGAGGCUCGAAAGCGUGGGGAGCGAACAGGAUUAGAUACCCUGGUAGUCCACGCCGUAAACGAUGAGUGCUAGGUGUUGGAUCCUUUCCGGGAUUCAGUGCCGCAGCUAACGCAUUAAGCACUCCGCCUGGGGAGUACGACCGCAAGGUUGAAACUCAAAGGAAUUGACGGGGGCCCGCACAAGCGGUGGAGCAUGUGGUUUAAUUCGAAGCAACGCGAAGAACCUUACCAGGUCUUGACAUCCCGAUGCUAUUUCUAGAGAUAGAAAGUUACUUCGGUACAUCGGUGACAGGUGGUGCAUGGUUGUCGUCAGCUCGUGUCGUGAGAUGUUGGGUUAAGUCCCGCAACGAGCGCAACCCCUAUUGUUAGUUGCCAUCAUUCAGUUGGGCACUCUAGCGAGACUGCCGGUAAUAAACCGGAGGAAGGUGGGGAUGACGUCAAAUCAUCAUGCCCCUUAUGACCUGGGCUACACACGUGCUACAAUGGUUGGUACAACGAGUUGCGAGUCGGUGACGGCGAGCUAAUCUCUUAAAGCCAAUCUCAGUUCGGAUUGUAGGCUGCAACUCGCCUACAUGAAGUCGGAAUCGCUAGUAAUCGCGGAUCAGCACGCCGCGGUGAAUACGUUCCCGGGCCUUGUACACACCGCCCGUCACACCACGAGAGUUUGUAACACCCGAAGUCGGUGAGGUAACCUUUUGGAGCCAGCCGCCUAAGGUGGGAC
rnacentral:rRNA from 1 species